rnacentral:tRNA from 1 species
GCCGCCUUAGCUCAGUCGGCAGAGCGUCUCACUCGUAAUGAGAAGGUCAAGGGUUCGAUUCCCUUAGGCGGCUC